AUUACAGACGAUGGCUUCAUGGUAGUUGUUCUGUGGAUUUUUAAUGCCGUUAACGUAAAUUGCAAAUUUCUCAUGAGUCCAGUAAAGAUAACCUUGUAUAACGUGUUUCUAUGAUAAACUUAGAUGUAUUGUUGAUAGUGGGGUCUAGAGAGUUUACGGAUACAGUGACGGCGCCAGUUAAAGUACAUAAACUGUAAUUGGAUGCAGUCUGGAAAUUUAGAAUGUACAGAACGUGAAACUGAAUAAUCCUCCUCUCUUACAUGAUCGUGGGGACGCAGAGCAUAUUAUACAUGGAGGUAUUGUACAGUCAAUGCAAUUGAUGAGGACCACAACAAUGUUAAGGCGCCGAAUGAUCAAUACGAUGAUGAUUACCACGGUUAUAGGACACAGACAGGGGAGCUGUGACUUGGAUGGAUGUCAAGCGGCCGUUUAUGGUUCCAGGAACUCGACUGGGAAAUGGAACAUUAACAGGGAAAUUCUAGAUUGGCAAUAGCAGGUUUAUGUAUGUACUGCAUGUACUAUAUAUAUUUUCUAAAUUUUCAUGGGUCUGUCUAACACACGUAGGUACAGUAAAGAACAUUAUGUUGACAAGUUUGAAACACAUUUUAAAAUAGGGACCCCUUGAAAACAUUGACUUUUAGUUAGGCUUGGGGUGUAAAACUACUUGAGGGACCGAGUCCAUCUGUUAUGCCGAGACUAACAUGUCAUAACUUCAUCAACAAAGAUCACAACAAAUAUGUUUAUCUCUAUCGGGAGAAAACAUACCGACGUUCAGAUGGGAUGGACAGUUUCUUCAUAUAUACACAAAAUAAACACCAUAACUUCAUCAACAAAGAUCACACCAAAUAUGUUUAUCUCUAUCGGGAGAAAACAUACCGACGGUCAGAUGGGACGGACAGUUUCUUCAUACAUUCACAAAAUAAACACCAUAACUUCAUCAACAAAGAUCACACCAAAUAUGUUUAUCUCUAUCGGGAGAAAACACACCGACGGUCAGAUGGGACAGACAGUUUCUUCAUACAUACACAAAAUAAACACCUUCUCCUGUCCGUACAGUUUCUUCAUACAUAGAUAUAGGCAGUUUGCUUCGUUUCUUUGGAACAUAACAUUUGGGGUUGUUUCAUCCUGCAGUUUAAACCGAUAUCCU